UACGUAGGGUGCAAGCGUUAAUCGGAAUUACUGGGCGUAAAGCGUGCGCAGGCGGUUCGGUAAGUCAGCUGUGAAAUCCCCGGGCUCAACCUGGGAACUGCAUCUGUGACUGCAUUGCUGGAGUGCGGCAGAGGGGGAUGGAAUUCCGCGUGUAGCAGUGAAAUGCGUAGAUAUGCGGAGGAACACCGAUGGCGAAGGCAGUCCCCUGGGCCUGCACUGACGCUCAUGCACGAAAGCGUGGGGAGCAAACAGG
rnacentral:rRNA from 1 species